rnacentral:rRNA from 1 species
GACGAACGCUGGCGGCGUGCUUAACACAUGCAAGUCGAACGGUGAAGGGAUCAGCUUGCUGGUUCUGGAUGAGUGGCGAACGGGUGAGUAACACGUGUGUAACCUGCCCCCUUCUUCUGGAUAACCGCAUGAAAGUGUGGCUAAUACGGGAUAUUCUGCGCCUGCUGCAUGGUGGGUGUGGGAAAGAUAUUGUUUCGGUUGGGGAUGGGCUCGCGGGCUAUGUGCUUGUUGGUGGGGUGAUGGCCUACCAAGGCGGGGACGGGUAGCCGGCCUGAGAGGGGGGGGGGUCAGAGUGGGACUGGGAAACGGCCCAGACUCCUACGGGAGGCAGCAGUGGGGAAUAUUGCACUAGGGGCGAAAGCCUGAUGCAGCGACGCCGCGUGAGGGAUGGAGGCCUUCGGGGUGUGAACCUCUUUCGCCAGUGAAGCAGGCCUGUCCCUUGUGGGUGGGUUGACGGUAGCUGGAAAAGAAGCGCCGGCUAACUACGUG